rnacentral:rRNA from 1 species
CACGUAGGGUGCAAGCGUUGUCCGGAAUUAUUGGGCGUAAAGAGCUCGUAGGCGGUUUGUCGCGUCUGCUGUGAAAACCUAGGGCUUAACUCUGGGCGUGCAGUGGGUACGGGCAGGCUAGAGUGCGGUAGGGGAGACUGGAAUUCCUGGUGUAGCGGUGAAAUGCGCAGAUAUCAGGAGGAACACCGAUGGCGAAGGCAGGUCUCUGGGCAUUAACUGACGCUGAGGAGCGAAAGCAUGGGGAGCGAACAGG